AUUGAACGCUGGCGGCAGGCCUAACACAUGCAAGUCGAGCGAGCGGCGGACGGGUGAGUAAUGUCUGGGAAACUGCCUGAUGGAGGGGGAUAACUACUGGAAACGGUAGCUAAUACCGCAUACCAUCAGAUGUGCCCAGAUGGGAUUAGCUAGUAGGUGGGGUAACGGCUCACCUAGGCGACGAUCCCUAGCUGGUCUGAGAGGAUGACCAGCCGCACUGGUGCUGAGACAGGGUCCAGAAUCCUACGGGAGGCAGCAGAAGGGAAUAUUGCACAAUUGGCGCAAGCCUGAUGCAGCCAUGCCGCGGGUGUGAAGAAGGCAUUCGGGUUGUAAAGCACUUACAGCGGGGAGGCGUUACCCGCAGAAGAAGCACCGGCUAACUCCGUGCCAGCAGCCGCGGUAAUUC
rnacentral:rRNA from 1 species